UACGUAGGGUGCAAGCGUUGUCCGGAAUUAUUGGGCGUAAAGAGCUCGUAGGCGGUCUGUUGCGUCCGCUGUGAAAACUCGGGGCUUAACCCCGAGCCUGCAGUGGAUACGGGCAGACUAGAGGUAGGUAGGGGAGACUGGAAUUCCUGGUGUAGCGGUGAAAUGCGCAGAUAUCAGGAGGAACACCGGUGGCGAAGGCGGGUCUCUGGGCCGAUAUUGACGCUGAGGAGCGAAAGCGUGGGGAGCGAACAGG
rnacentral:rRNA from 1 species